rnacentral:rRNA from 1 species
UUUUCCGGUUGAUCCUGCCGGAGGUCACUGCUAUUGGGAUUCGACUAAGCCAUGCGAGUUGAGAGGGUUCGGCCCUCGGCUGACGGCUCAGUAACACGUGGAUAAUCUACCCUUAGGUGGAGGAUAACCUCGGGAAACUGAGAAUAAUACUCCAUAGGUCUAAGAGGCUGGAAUGCACUUAGGCUGAAAACUCCGGUGCCUAAGGAUGAGUCUGCGGACUAUCAGGUUGUAGUCAGGGUAAUGACCUGACUAGCCUACGACGGAUACGGGUUGUGAGAGCAAUAACCCGGAGAUGAUAUCUGAGACACGAUAUCAGGCCCUACGGGGCGCAGCAGGCGCGAAAACUUCACAAUGCGCGAAAGCGCGAUGAGGGAAUCCCAAGUGCUUGCACGUAAGUGUAAGCUGUUUCUAUGUCUAAAAAGCAUAGAGAGUAAGAGCUGGGUAAGACGGGUGCCAGCCGCCGCGGUAAUACCUGCAGCUCUAGUGGUGUCCGCUAUUAUUGGGCCUAAAACGUCCGUAGCCGGCUUAUUAAAUGCCUGGGUAAAUCGUACGGCUCAACCGUACGAAUUCCGGGUAGACUGAUAGGCUUGGGACCGGGAGAAGCUAGAGGUACUCAUGGGGUAGAAGUGAAAUUCUGUAAUCCUAGGGGGACCACCAGUGGCGAAGGCGUCUAGCUAGAACGGGUUUGACGGUGAGGGACGAAGCCCUGGGGAGCAAACGGGAUUAGAUACCCCGGUAGUCCAGGGUGUAAACGCUGCUUGCUUGAUGUUAGUCGGGCUCCGAGCCCGAUUAGUGUCGGAGAGAAGUUGUUAAGCAAGCUGCCUGGGAAGUACGGCCGCAAGACUGAAACUUAAAGGAAUUGGCGGGGGAGCACUGCAACGGGUGGAGCGUGCGGUUUAAUUGGAUUCAACGCCGGGAAUCACUAGU